AAAGCGCACGUAGGCGGCUUUGUAAGUUAGAGGUGAAAGCCUGGAGCUCAACUCCAGAAUUGCCUUUAAGACUGCAUCGCUCGAAUCCAGGAGAGGUGAGUGGAAUUCCGAGUGUAGAGGUGAAAUUCGUAGAUAUUCGGAAGAACACCAGUGGCGAAGGCGGCUCACUGGACUGGUAUUGACGCUGAGGUGCGAAAGCGUGGGGAGCAAACAGGAUUAGAUACCCCAGU
rnacentral:rRNA from 1 species